rnacentral:rRNA from 1 species
GACGAACGCUGGCGGCGUGCCUAAUACAUGCAAGUUGAGCGCUGAAGGUUGGUACUUGUACCAACUGGAUGAGCAGCGAACGGGUGAGUAACGCGUGGGGAAUCUGCCUUUGAGCGGGGGACAACAUUUGGAAACGAAUGCUAAUACCGCAUAAAAACUUUAAACACAAGUUUUAAGUUUGAAAGAUGCAAUUGCAUCACUCAAAGAUGAUCCCGCGUUGUAUUAGCUAGUUGGUGAGGUAAAGGCUCACCAAGGCGAUGAUACAUAGCCGACCUGAGAGGGUGAUCGGCCACAUUGGGACUGGGACACGGCCCAAGCUCCUACGGGAGGCAGCAGUAGGGAAUCUUCGGCAAUGGACGAAAGUCUGACCGAGCAACGCCGCGUGAGUGAAGAAGGUUUUCGGAUCGUAAAACUCUGUUGGUAGGGAAGAACGUUGGUGAGAGUGGAAAGCUCAUCAAGUGACGGUAACUACCCAGAAAGGGACGGCUAACUACGUG